rnacentral:rRNA from 1 species
UGGGGAAUAUUGCACAAUGGAGGGAACUCUGAUGCAGCGACGCCGCGUGAACGAAGAAGGCUUUCGAGUCGUAAAGUUCUUUUAUAUGGGAAGAUAAUGACGGUACCAUAAGAAAAAGCCCCGGCUAACUAAGUGCCAGCAGCCGCGGUAAUACGUAGGGGGCUAGCGUUGUCCGGAAUCACUGGGCGUAAAGGGUUCGCAGGCGGAAAUGCAAGUCAGGUGUAAAAGGCAGUAGCUUAACUACUGUAAGCAUUUGAAACUGCAUAUCUUGAGAAGAGUAGAGGUAAGUGGAAUUUUUAGUGUAGCGGUGAAAUGCGUAGAUAUUAAAAAGAAUACCGGUGGCGAAGGCGGCUUACUGGGCUCAUUCUGACGCUGAGGAACGAAAGCGUGGGUAGCAAACAGG